UUUCCUUUGGACAGGUUUUGAUAAAUCUCCACCAUAGUGAGAAGAAUAGGGGCACCUACCUGUGGUCUAUAGGGGGAAGCAGAGAACAGUACACAGAAGCUUCUCCAUGGGGAAUAGAUACUCUUCAGAAACUGCAGGAAGCCAUUGGCUGUUUCUGUAUUUAGAAGAGAGUUGGGCCAGGCCUAUACCGAGGAGCUCCGACCCAAACAGUAUGCAGCAGCCUUCUCUACACGGCACAGUCCUGUGGAUAGGGCAGAGGAAAGCAUGAGGUCCC